rnacentral:rRNA from 1 species
UACGUAGGUGGCAAGCGUUAUCCGGAAUCACUGGGCGUAAAGCGUGCGUAGGCGGGUGCUUAAGUGCAAUGCGAAAUCCUGUGGCUCAACCAUAUGGACGGUAUUGCAUACUGGGUACCUUGAGGAAUGCAGAGGCAAGUGGAAUUACCGGUGUAGCAGUGAAAUGCGUAGAGAUCGGUAGGAACACCAAUGGCGAAGGCAGCUUGCUGGGCAUUAUCUGACGCUAAGGCACGAAAGCGUGGGGAGCGAACAGG